rnacentral:rRNA from 1 species
UGGGGAAUAUUGCACAAUGGGGGAAACCCUGAUGCAGCGACGCCGCGUGAACGAAGAAGGUAUUCGUAUCGUAAAGUUCUGUCCUAUGGGAAGAUAAUGACAGUACCAUAGAAGAAAGCUCCGUCUAAAUACGUGCCAGCAGCCGCGGUAAUACGUAUGGAGCGAGCGUUGUCCGGAAUUAUUGGGCGUAAAGGGUACGCAGGCGGUUUAAUAAGUCGAAUGUUAAAGAUCGGGGCUCAACCCCGCAAAGCAUUGGAAACUGAUAAACUUGAGUAGUGGAGAGGAAAGUGGAAUUCCUAGUGUAGUGGUGAAAUACGUAGAUAUUAGGAGGAAUACCAGUAGCGAAGGCGACUUUCUGGACACAAACUGACGCUGAGGUACGAUAGCGUGGGGAGCAAACAGG